rnacentral:misc_RNA from 1 species
UCCCGGUUAGCCCGGGCAGUCUCGUUUGAAAAAUACAACAAACGACAAGGGUUUCGCUCGUUGCGGGACUUAACCCAACAUCUCACGACACGAGCUUAAGACGGCCAUGCAACACCUGUCACUGGGCUCCCGAAGGCACCCCACUGUUUCCAGCGGGUUCCCAGGAUGUCAAGCCUUGGUAAGGUUCUUCGCGUAUCAUCGAAUUAAACCACAUGCUCCACCGCUUGUGCGGGUCCCCGUCAAUUCCUUUGAGUUUUAGCCUUGCGGCCGUACUCCCCAGGCGGGAUGCUUAACGCGUUAGCUUCGCAACGCAAAGGGUCGAUACUUCACACUACUAGCAUCCAUCGUUUACGGCGUGGACUAC